AGAAAGCUAAAAUUAAAAAACUUGAGUAGUAAUUGUUAUAUUCAAAAAACUUAAUAAAUUUGGCGGUAUUUUAUUUUAAUUAGAGGAAUUUGUUUUAUAAUUGAUAUUACUCGUUAUAUCUUACUUAAUUUUGUAAAAUAUGUAUAUCGUCGUCAUCAGAAUAUCUUAAAAAAGAAAGAAUUUUCUAAAAUUUUAAAUAUAAAUAAUGUCAGAUCAAGGUGCAAUUUAUAAUUAAGAAAAAAUGAAUUACAAUAAGUUUAUUUAAAUGAAUAUGAAUUUUAAAGAAUUUAUUGAAGGUGGAUUUAAUAGUAAAAUAGACUAAAAAAUUUAUUUGAUUAUAAACUUAAAAUGUGU
rnacentral:rRNA from 1 species